rnacentral:rRNA from 1 species
UGGGGAAUCUUGGACAAUGGGGGAAACCCUGGUCCAGCCAUGCCGCGUGAUCGAUGAAGGCCUUAGGGUUGUAAAGAUCUUUCAGCGAGGAAGAUAAUGACGGUACUCGCAGAAGAAGCCCCGGCUAACUCCGUGCCAGCAGCCGCGGUAAUACGGAGGGGGCUAGCGUUGUUCGGAAUUACUGGGCGUAAAGCGCACGUAGGCGGAUCAGUUAGUCAGAGGUGAAAUCCCGGGGCUCAACCCCGGAACUGCCUUUGAUACUGCUGGUCGGGAGGUCGAGCGAGGUGAGUGGAAUUCCGAGUGUAGAGGUGAAAUGCGUAGAUAUUCGGAGGAACACCAGUGGCGAAGGCGGCUCACUGGCUCGAUACUGACGCUGAGGUGCGAAAGCGUGGGGAGCAAACA